AUACGGGGGGUGCAAGCGUUAUUCGGAUUUAUUGGGCGGAAAGGGCGCGUAGGCGGCUUGGUAAGUCAGAUGUGAAAGCCCGGGGCUUAACCCCGGAAGUGCAUUUGAAACUAUCAGGCUUGAGUAUGGGAGAGGGAAGUGGAAUUCCUGGUGUAGAGGUGAAAUUCGUAGAUAUCAGGAGGAACACCGGUGGCGAAGGCGACUUCCUGGACCAAUACUGACGCUGAGGCGCGAAGGCGUGGGGAGCAAACAGGAUUAGAAACCCCAGUAGUCC
rnacentral:rRNA from 1 species